UACUAUAUAAAUUUCUCUAAUAUCAAUCCAGCUGCUUCUUCUCUUUCGCCGGCCGAUUCUUUCACCCAUGGUGAGAUCGAUCACUGCAGAACCCAAACACUUCCUCAUCCAUUUUUUUUUUCAGUCGAGGCACACUUUCGAAAUCCCAAUUUGGCUACUGUUUAUUGCUUCCCUGCUGCCGUAGCACGCUCACGAUUCUGUUUGGCUGCUUCGCUAGGCACGCUCGUGAUUUUGUUUUGCUGCUUCACUCGGCACGCUCGUGAUUCUGUUUUGCUGCUUCACUCGGCACGCUCGUGAUUCUGUUUUGCUGAUGUCUUACAGGUUUGUAUUUUAUUGGUUCUUGAACCCUGCCAAAUCGUAACAAAAGAGAUUUGAUCGAUUA